CUUGCCUUCUGCCAGCGUUCGGGUGGAUCCCAGUUCUGGCAGUCCGUGAUCCAGCUUAUGUCCAUCCUCCGCAUCGGCACGUCCAUCUCGGUUGGCUCCGGGUCCUCGACCCUGUUCUGGUUCGACCGUUGGUUAGGGGACUCCCCCUGGCUGCGUUUCUCAGAACUAUUCGCCAUUGCGGCCGACCCUCGGGUCUUCGUCCAGACGGCCCUUAUUGACUUAGGGCGUCUCGCUUUCCGGCGCCCCUUCGGCCCCCACGAGGUGGCGGCUUGGGACUCCCUCCUCCAGGACAUCGCCCUUAUGCCUAUGAACGUCGAGGAGGCCCAGGAUUCCCUUUCCUGGCGCCUUGAACCGUCUGGCCACUUCUUCAUGAAGUCCUUGUACGCUGCCAUUGCUCCCUCGGCGGCCCCGGAGCCCUUUAGCCUGAUCUGGGACAUCCGCCUACCUCUGAAGAUUAGGAUUUUCUUGUGGCAAUGGAUCGGUGGACGCCUCCCCUCUGGGGUUGAAGUCCUCAAGCGUAACGACCCGGGCGAUGGGAUGUGCCCCAUCUGUGGCACGGCCGAAGAUGCUAACCACAUCUUCUUCUCGUGCUCUACUGCCCAGUUCCUGUGGGCUUGCUUCCACGGAACGGUCGGUGGACAGUGGUGCAAUACCAACUUCCCCGACUUACUUGCGGAGCUCAACGCUUUCCCUCCUCGCUACCGCCAUAUUAGAUGGCUGUGCAUUGGAGUUCUCGCCUGGACGCUUUGGAACAUCCGCAAUAAGCUUAUUAUUCAGAAAGUGCCUCUCUGA
rnacentral:rRNA from 1 species